UCCAUACAAAUCUUUGCAAUACAAGAGAUCUUCCAUUCUUGGUUUCCAUAUCAUCCAAUUAUUUCCAUUCAAACUAAUCAUGCGAGAAAUAUUACUGACCUCCAUGUUCAAAUACAAAAAUUAAAUCACCAAAACCCCGCUCUGAUACAAGUUGAUGGGGAUAUAACAGGAAUAACCUUUGUAUAGGAACAAAUACUAGAAGACCAAAAUACGCAGCAGAAUAAAAUGGAAACACAAUCAAACAGAACACCAAGAUAUACGUGGAAAACCCCUUCAAUGUGAAGGGUAAAAACCACGGGGCAAACUAGAGAUAAUCCACUAUGAGAAUAAUGAAUGUACAAAUCUCAAUCUCUUGCCCAAAACCCUAGCAACAACCACAAGAGAAUAACUGGGAUACAAUGAUCACGUCACUGCCCACAAUAUCUAAAACUCCCAAGUAAUCACAGCAAGAGCCUACUGUAGAUUUGAUCUAACCUGAGAUGAGAACACUGCUAGAUGAUUGAGAACAGUCUCUCUGUGUUGUCCUUGUCUUCUUCCCUUUCUUUCUCUUCCUUUUCUGCCUUGUUCUCCUUCUUCUCUUUGGAAUCU
rnacentral:lncRNA from 1 species